rnacentral:snoRNA from 1 species
AUUCCAUAAUUUGGACAUUCUCGAAGCAUAUCCUUGAACCUUUCCCAAGCCUCAUGAAAGCUUUUAAAUUCAUAUUGUUGGAAUGUGGUUAUGCCGUGCUUUAGCUU